UACAGAGGUCUCAAGCGUUGUUCGGAAUUACUGGGCGUAAAGGGUGCGCAGGCCGCGCGGGCAGUCAAAUGUGUAAUCCAGGGGCUCAACCCCUGAACUGCGCUUGAUACUUCCGCGCUCGAGCUUUUGGAGAGGAGUCUGGAAUUCUCGGUGUAGCAGUGAAAAUGCGUGGAUAUCGAGAAGAACACUUAGGGCGUAGGCAAGACUCUGGGACAAAUGCUGACGCUCA
rnacentral:rRNA from 1 species